rnacentral:tRNA from 1 species
CCUUUCGUAGCUCAAUGGCUAGAGCCCCGCGUUGUGGUCGCGGUGAUUCCGGUUCAACUCCGGGCGGAGGGA